GACGAACGCUGGCGGCGUGCUUAACACAUGCAAGUCGAACGGAGUGGGGAACGGGUGAGUAACACGUGGGUGAUCUGCCUUGCACUUCGGGAUAAGCUUGGGAAACUGGGUCUAAUUCCGGAUAGUCCAGAAUGAGCUCGCGGCCUAUCAGCUUGUGGGUGGGGUAAUGGCCGACCAAGGCGUCGACGGGUAGCCGGCCUGGGAGGGUGUACGGCCACAUUGGUACUGAGAGACGGCCCAGACUCCUACGGGAGGCAGCAGUGGGGAAUAUUGCACAAUGGGCGGAAGCCUAGUGCAGCGACGCCGGGGGGGGGAUGAAGGCCUUCGGGUUGUAAACUCCUUUCGGCAGGGACGCGGUACCUGUAUAAGAAGCACCGGCUAACUACGUGCCAGCAGCCGCGGUAAUAC
rnacentral:rRNA from 1 species